rnacentral:rRNA from 1 species
UACGUAGGGUGCAAGCGUUGUCCGGAAUUAUUGGGCGUAAAGAGCUCGUAGGCGGUUUGUCGCGUCUGCCGUGAAAACCCGAGGCUUAACCUCGCGGCUUGCGGUGGAUACGGGCAGACUAGAGGUAGGUAGGGGAGAUUGGAAUUCCUGGUGUAGCGGUGGAAUGCGCAGAUAUCAGGAGGAACACCGAUGGCGAAGGCAGAUCUCUGGGCCGUAACUGACGCUGAGGAGCGAAAGCAUGGGGAGCGAACAGG